rnacentral:rRNA from 1 species
GAUGAACGCUAGCGGCAGGCCUAACACAUGCAAGUCGAGGGGUAGAUUUUCUUCGGAGAAUUGAGACCGGCGCACGGGUGCGUAACGCGUAUGCAACUUACCUUAUACUGGGGGAUAGCCCGGAGAAAUUCGGAUUAAUACCGCAUAUGCUCACAGUCUCGCAUGGGACGGUGAGGAAAGAUUUAUCGGUAUAAGAUAGGCAUGCGUCCUAUUAGCUUGUUGGUGAGGUAACGGCUCACCAAGGCGAUGAUAGGUAGGGGGCCUGAGAGGGUGGUCCCCCACACUGGUACUGAGACACGGACCAGACUCCUACGGGAGGCAGCAGUGAGGAAUAUUGGGCAAUGGAGGCAACUCUGACCCAGCUAUGCCGCGUGAAGGAUGAAGGUCCUCUGGAUUGUAAACUUCUUUUGUAUGGGGGAUAAACUUUUCUACGUGUAGAAAACUGAAGGUACCAUACGAAUAAGGAUCGGCUAACUCCGUG